rnacentral:rRNA from 1 species
CCUACGGGAGGCAGCAGUGAGGAAUAUUGGUCAAUGGACGAGAGUCUGAACCAGCCAAGUAGCGUGAAGGAUGACUGCCCUAUGGGUUGUAAACUUCUUUUAUAAAGGAAUAAAACGAGGCACGUGUGCCUUUUUGCAUGUACUUUAUGAAUAAGGACCGGCUAACUCCGUGCCAGCAGCCGCGGUAAUACGGAGGGUCCGAGCGUUAUCCGGAUUUAUUGGGGUUAAAGGGAGCGUAGAUGGGUUGUUAAGUCAGUUGUGAAAGUUUGCGGCUCAACCGUAAAAUUGCAAUUGAUACUGGCAGUCUUGAGUACAGUUGAGGUAGGCGGAAUUCGUGGUGUAGCGGUGAAAUGCUUAGAUAUCACGAAGAACCCCGAUUGCGAAGGCAGCUUGCUAAACUGUGACUGACAUUGAUGCUCGAAAGUGUGGGUAUCAAACAGGAUUAGAUACCCCAGUAGUC